rnacentral:rRNA from 1 species
CUCGUAGGGGGCGAGCGUUAUCCGGAUUUAUUGGGCGUAAAGCGUGUGUAGGCGGUUUAUUAAGUCUAGAAUUAAAGCCUGGGGCUCAACUUCAGUUCGUUCUAGAAACUGGUAGACUUGAGUGUGGUAGAGGCAGAUGGAAUUUCUAGUGUAGCGGUUAAAUGCGUAGAUAUUAGAAGGAACACCAGUGGCGAAGGCGGUCUGCUGGGCCAUUACUGACGCUGAGACACGAAAGCGUGGGGAGCAAAUA